rnacentral:rRNA from 1 species
UACGGGGGGGGCAAGCGUUGUUCGGAAUUACUGGGCGUAAAGGGCUCGUAGGCGGCCAACUAAGUCAGACGUGAAAUCCCUCGGCUUAACCGGGGAACUGCGUCUGAUACUGGAUGGCUUGAGGUUGGGAGAGGGAUGCGGAAUUCCAGGUGUAGCGGUGAAAUGCGUAGAUAUCGGGAGGAACACCUGUGGCGAAAGCGGCUCACUGGACCAUAACUGACGCUGAUGCACGAAAGCUGGGGGAGCAAACAGG